rnacentral:tRNA from 1 species
GCCUAGGUGGCUCAGUUGGUUAAGCAUCUGACUGCAGCUCAAAUGAUGAUCUCACGGUUCGUGGGCUCGAGCCCCAUCUCAGGCU